UACGGGGGGAGCAAGCGUUGUUCGGAUUUACUGGGCGUAAAGCGUGCGCAGGCGGCUUUGCAAGACAGGUGUGAAAUCCCCGGGCUUAACCUGGGAACUGCAUUUGUGACUGCAUAGCUAGAGUACGGCAGAGGGGGAUGGAAUUUCGCAUGUAGCAGUGAAAUGCGUAGAUAUGCGGAGGAACACCGAUGGCGAAGGCAGCCCCCUGGGCUAGCACUGACGCCCAGGCACGAAAGCGUGGGGAGCAAACAGG
rnacentral:rRNA from 1 species